rnacentral:rRNA from 1 species
UGCGUAGGCGGUUUACUAAGUCAGAUGUGAAAGCCCCGGGCUUAACCUGGGAACUGCAUUUGAUACUGGUAGGCUAGAGUAUGAUAGAGGGGGGUAGAAUUCCUGGUGUAGCGGUGAAAUGCGUAGAUAUCAGGAGGAAUACCGGUGGCGAAGGCGGCCCCCUGGAUCAAUACUGACGCUGAGGUACGAAAGCGGUGGGUAAGGCGAACA